UUCAGAAUAGGGUUUCCCUUCACUUUCACGCUUUCCUCGCCGCGCCCCAUCCCCUUUUCCCUAUUCUCUUUCCCUUCUCAUUUUCCUCCUUCACCGCCGCCUUCACCCCUUCUCUUUCUCCUCCCUCUGCUACACCCACGUGACCUCCAUCCAUGCCCAUACUCCACGUUACCCCUGACACCCCACUCCCGCUGUUCCCCCCACGCUUCUGCCACUCCCACCUUCUUCUGUUCCCUCCACUUUCGUUGUCACCCGCUCCUCUAUCUCCUUCCCCAACACAAAACCUAAAGAACCCUAUAAAUAGAGGGGAGUGGAAUCGAAACGGAGGGGGAUUUUUUUCGGUUGUUUCUUUGAUUGUUAAAAAGGUCGAAUAUAUAAAAAAUUCGGGGAUUUUUUUGGGAUCGGAAAAAAAAGCCGUCUAUUCUUUGAAAAAUACAAAGUUUUAGCCAUCCAGAAUCCUUUAAAGAAUAUGAGUUCUCAGUAGUUGCAGGAAGUUUUUCGCAUAUCGGGUUUUCCCUUUGUUGAGCCUCUAAAAUUCCUUAACAGUUUUGAACCCGAGCGUCGCAAGCCCAGAUUCGAAGUGUUCGAGCGUGGAUUCGAGACCCAUACCCAUUUCGCUGCACCCGAACAAGGUGCACAGGGAGACAGACUUGAUCCAUAGCUGCUUAUUCAGAGAUUACAUAGCAGAACUCUAUUUCCUUCGGAGCCAUAGCUUUUGGGUACUUAUUAUUUUAUGUAUAUAAUUAUGGGCAUAGCGGGGUCUUGUCCCGCUCAUGUGACAUGUUAUACUCUUCUUAGAGGCUCGUAGUCACGUGUAUGUGGUUAGGUAUGUCUGGCCUUGUCGGCCUAUAUUUUGUAUAUCAUUUUGUUGGCCUCGUCGACCCAUGUACAUUGUUGUGGCAUAGAUUCCUAUGAUGAUUAAAGAUGUUAUCGUCCAA